rnacentral:rRNA from 1 species
UGGGUAACCUGCCUCAAAGAGGGGAAUAGCCUCCCGAAAGGGAGAUUAAUACCGCAUAAUAUGUUUAAGUCGCAUGACUUUAACAUCAAAGGAUUUUCUUUUAAGAAAUUCCACUUUGAGAUGGACCCGCGGCGCAUUAGCUAGUUGGUGAGGUAACGGCUCACCAAGGCAACGAUGCGUAGCCGACCUGAGAGGGUGAUCGGCCACAUUGGAACUGAGACACGGUCCAGCCUCCGUAGGGAG